AAACCAUAAAAAAUGGGCAUUUAAGGCCGAAAUGCAUGGUACUUUAAGGGAUCUGGUGAGUAUAGGCAGGAAGAAAUAGUAAAGUGAUUUAAAAUUGUUUUAGUACUUUGGGCCGUUAGUAUAGUAAUUUUUAAAUUAUGCUUAAAUUAUUAGUCACUAGGUGUGUACACCAGUGUUGAGGAUUAAACAAUAAACGGAAGUUUGAUUUAGUGAGUAGAAGAAUCUAGGUCCGGCAAAUAUUUGUGCCAGCANNNGCGGUUACACAAACGGGUCAAGUCAAAAUUUGUUCGGCGGAAGAGAAGGUUAGAGAUGAAGGAGAAUAGGGAGGACGAAUACUAGUUUAAUAAAGGUACAAUUCGGGUAAGAGAAUUACGUUCUUGGCUUCCUUAGAUCUUGAGGCCUUGAAAUUUUAGGUGGAGACCGGGAUUAGAUACCCCGUUAUUCUGAAUUAUAAAAAUUGAUAUAUAAAUUAUAUCUGCCUGGGUACUACAAGUUUUAGAUAUAAUUGAGAGUGUCUAGAGGUUACUUAAAACUUAAAAGACUUGGCGGUGCCUUAUUUCUUACCAGGGGAACCUGCCCCAUAAACUGAUGAUCCACGUUUUAGCUUACCUUAUUUAGAAUUGGGUUUUGACCCUUUUCAGCUUGUAUACCGUCGUCGUCAGGCCGCCUUGGAGAGGAGUGGAGUGGCCUAAAAGAAUUUUGUUGGUCUUGUGGUAUUAAUAGUAUUUAUGGGAGAAACAUGUAAUUCUAGACGUCAGAUCGAGGUGCAGCUUAUAAUAAGGCGGAAAGGUGGGUUACAAUAGGAAUUUCCUAUAAUGGAAUAGUCCCUGUAAUGGGAUUAUGAAAGUGGACUUGGAAGUAAUUUAAAUGUAUGAUUAGAAAGCUUAAAUGAAAUAUGAUGGUACUAAGGCGUGCACAAAUCGCCCGUCGCUCUUGUUGAGAAAUAAGAUAAGUCGUAACAUAGUAGGGGUACUGGAAAGUGCCCCCGGGAUAAAGGA
rnacentral:rRNA from 1 species